AGCUGCCAACCUGCAUCCUGAAGCCCUCUCUGCCGCAUCAGUGGAUGGAUCUUCUGUUCUUCUUUCCUUUGAUGCCAAAGUGUUUGAGGACUUCAUAGCAGAGUGCAGGUUCCCUGCAUUUCUCUCCAUCCAGCCAGAAAUCCAUUACCAGCAUUGGCAAAGUCCUGCAUUGAACAUACAGCAACAGGACUCUGAGUCUGCGCCCAGCGCGUUCAACAAGGAACAGCCUGACUCUUUUUAAACCCUCAAAUCCAUAUCCAAUGUGCAUCCUCUUCUUCACUUUCAAAUAGUUGCUGAC